rnacentral:rRNA from 1 species
AUUGAGGUAGGGUACUGGCAACAGUGCUCUGCUGAAAUAUUUUCACCCAUGUCUUUUGCGCACUUUUUGUUUCCUGGGCGAGUUUGCUCGCCACCAGGACCCCCAUAUGAACCUUUUUUGUUUUUGCACUCAGCGUCAGUACAAUAAUUUAAUCUAUUAAAACUUUCAACAACGGAUCUCUUGGUUCUGGCAUCGAUGAAGAACGCAGCGAAAUGCGAUACGUAGUGUGAAUUGCAGAAUUCAGUGAAUCAUCGAAUCUUUGAACGCACAUUGCGCCCUUUGGUAUUCCAAAGGGCAUGCCUGUUCGAGCGUCAUUUGUACCCUCAAGCUUUGCUUGGUGUUGGGCGUCUUAUUGUCUCUCCGUCUCGGGGAGACUCGCCUUAAAACAAUUGGCAGCCGGCCUACUGGUUUCGGAGCGCAGCACAAAUUUGCGCUUGCAAUCAGCCAAGGGCGGCAUCCAUGAAGCCUUUUUUCUCUCACAUUUUGACCUCGGAUCAGGUAGGGAUACCCGCUGAACUUAAGCAUAUCAAUAGCCGGAGAAAAAAUAGGGUUCCGACCUAG